GAAAUGCGAUAAGUAAUGCGAAUUGCAGAUUUCAGUGAAGCAUCGAAUCUUUGAACGCACAUUGCACCCGGCGGCCAUUCCGCCGGGUCUGCCUGUCCGAGCGUCGUUUCACCCCUCGAGUCCACCAAGCACUCGGUGUUGGGGAUCUGCAGGGCCCCUCGGGGCCGCUGCAGGCCCUGAAAUACAGUGGCGGGCCCUGCUGGAACCCCCUGCUCACUAACAAGCCUCCCGCAUCGCGUGCCGGCGGAGCCUGGCCGUCAACCGGUCGGCGCCCUGGGUGCCGCCCCUUCAGAACGGUCGACCUCGGAUCAGGUAGGGUUACCCGCUGAACUUAA
rnacentral:misc_RNA from 1 species